rnacentral:rRNA from 1 species
GACGAACGCUGGCGGCGUGCUUAACACAUGCAAGUCGAACGGAAAGGCCCUGCUUUUGUGGGGUGCUCGAGUGGCGAACGGGUGAGUAACACGUGAGUAACCUGCCCUUGACUUUGGGAUAACUUCAGGAAGCUGGGGCUAAUACCGGAUAGGAGCUCCUGCUGCAUGGUGGGGGUUGGAAAGUUUCGGCGGUUGGGGAUGGACUCGCGGCUUAUCAGCUUGUUGGUGGGGUAGUGGCUUACCAAGGCUUUGACGGGUAGCCGGCCUGAGAGGGUGACCGGCCACAUUGGGACUGAGAUACGGCCCAGACUCCUACGGGAGGCAGCAGUGGGGAAUAUUGCACAAUGGGCGGAAGCCUGAUGCAGCAACGCCGCGUGCGGGAUGACGGCCUUCGGGUUGUAAACCGCUUUCGCCCGUGACGAAGCGUGAGUGACGGUAAUGGGUAAAGAAGCACCGGCUAACUACGUG